rnacentral:RNase_P_RNA from 1 species
CGAGUCGGCUGGGCGAUCGCGGGCAUGGCAACAUGAUCGAGGAACGUCCGGGCUCCAGAGGGCAGGGUGGUUGCUAACGGCAACCCGGGGUGACCCGCGGGACAGUGCCACAGAGAACAGACCGCCGGACGGCUUCGGCCGCUCGGUAAGGGUGAAACGGUGGUGUAAGAGACCACCAGCGUCGCGGGUGACCGGGACGGCUAGGUAAACCCCACCCGGAGCAAGGUCGAAAGGGUCUGCACCACCUAGGUGGCGCGACCUGCGCAGGCGUUUUCAGGGCUGCCCGCCCGAGCCUGCGGGUGGACCGCACGAGCCUGCCGGCGACGGCAGGCCCAGAUGGAUGAUCGCCCAUCGGGAUCGCCGUAAGGCACCCAGGGACAGAACCCGGCGUACAGGCCGACUCGUCCG